UAAAGACAGGUAAUCAGUCCCACUAAGCUCCAACAAACAUGCAGGUUCCCAAUAGAUAUUAGGUGUAAAAUAGCUUUAAGAAGUCUUUACAGAAAUGUAAAUUUAUUGUAUAGCAUAUUUAAAAAGAUGUUUUGCACUCCGCAAACAUGAUAUGCCUAUCACUGAAGAUAUUUAUAAUGGUAUACAUAAGCAACACAGAAUUAAAGAAAAUAAAUGUAGAAGGAACCUCAAGAUGUCAGCUGUAUUGUGUGGAAGAGCAGAUUUUCUUCAGUUGUGUCUCUCUUAAAGAAUUAUUUUAACUCAGUACAUUGCAUGGAACGUUCUUUGUAUUGUUUAAACACAGCCACAGCAAAGCCUAAGCACAAUAUCUGACAAAAUCGUAACUUGAUGGUAUUAUGUUAAUUUCUUUUAUUAUUUACUUUCAUUAUUUCUCUUUGGGAAAUUAAAACGUUUGCCAAAUAUAAUAAUUCUACCAUUCAGAAUUACCUGGAAAUCAAUUUGCAAUAAGCUCUGGUCAUGUCACUGUUAAUACGUUGUUUUUGUUUUAUUGAUGUAUUGAAUUGUUCAGAUUUUUGAAAAUAUCAUGUUUGGAAGAACAUAAGCAUGAGAAAAAAAAUCAAAAUAAUACUUCAGGAUUUUGUUUAGAAUAUUAAAAGAAGAUUGUGGCUAGGGGGUAGCUGAGUUUGUUUUGGAUAAUUUUUAUUUGCCUCUGGGGAAAGUCCUUCUGAGCUAUCAACAGGAUUGGGUACUAGGACAAAUUUGUAAGAAGAGUAUCAGUGUGAAAAACAAGAGAAAAGAUCUGAAAGGAUUGUACUGAGAACUCGCUUGGCUAGCUGUGUAAUGUCCUUUUAAUGAAAGGCAUUUUGUGAGUAACUUCUGUGCAUGCGUUUGUGGUGCUGAGAAUAAGACUUUCAUCCAAAAAGUUCAAAGCACACUAUGAAAUCAAGAAAAUAAUAGUCAUCCCAUUUCUCAGGUAGCAAUAUGGAAAUAGUCAGUUAGAGAUGUUCAGAUCUCAAGACAUUCAUGUUGAGUUUAUGUAUGGCAAAAGCAAUGCUUUGAUCACUCAGUUUGGUUUGAACUGAAAGAGAGAAAAUCUUUUGUGUGAGAAGAAUGUCAGGCUGUUGAUUCAGUCAUGCCCAGUUUCUUUAGAAAUGUCCAAAGCAUUUUAGCUUGAGCCCUUUACAAACCAGGGAUGGCUUGCUUGAGUUAUAUGUGAAUGUAUGUGCCUUCUGCUGAGAAAUUAGUAAAAAAGAAAUAUGUCCCCAAGAUGAAAUAACAUUUUCCCCAUCUAAUUGAUGAAGAACUGUGUACUGCUGGCUGCCCAAUAGAGAACUCUGAACUCGUCAAGGGAGGAUCUCUUUGUGAGGACUUUGAACAAUAGUAAUGUCCUGUUAACCAUACAAGGAACAUUGGCAUUUCAUUUGGAGGCAUUCUUAAGUGACCUCUAGUGAAAGUGCAGGCUAGCUAUCUAGGACUCCACAUUCUGUAUUGCCUUGUAACCUUUAACAAUGCUGUUUCAAGGGUCUGUAUUUAGCAAAUUAACUUUGACAUAUCAUUCAGUUUGCAUUUCAGCUUCCAUAUGAGCAGGAAUUUUUUUCCUAUCAGAUUUUGGGAUCUUAGUUUGUUUCCUUUAUGUAAGUCUGUUGUCACAAAUAUGACAUUGAGUUCUGAUGGAAUGCACAGCUUGCAACUUGAUUUUGCUGUUUAAAAAAUGAUGAGUUGUAGUAUGCUGGGCAUUGGUGCAGUUGAAGCAUAGGUCGCAAGCUCACAUUAAUUUGUCAUUCAUUCUCCAAUGUUUUGUCUAUAUAAACUGCUUUAAUUGAUAGUGGAUAUAUCAAACUCAAGUUUAAAAUUAAAAAAAAAAAGUUUCUACAGUGAGUUCAAAAUCUGAGUUGGUGAUAUUUCUGCAGAAUUCAAAUAGAAAGGAAACACUGCUCUAAGGGAAAAUGUGGAUGCUCCCUUAUGGCAUGCUAUUUAUGUUAAAACACGACCAAAGUAUUUUGUCUAUGGGAACUCUGCUCAGGCAACCCUUUUGUUUCUGUACCAAUCGCAAAAAAACAAGUCCUCUCUAAUAAAAGUGUGACAAAUCUAUUUGCUUUUGGCAAAUAAUUUCCAGUGAAUUGACACAUCUCAACAGCAGACAAAUGGUGGGAAUUAAUUAGGAUUUGUAUUUAAUAUGGAAAUACUGCUGUGAUUCCUUAAAAUGCUGCUGCAUCAUCAGCAAUGCACAGCAUCUCAAAUGGGGUCCGUUGGUUAAUAAAAAAUUAAGGGAAGAAAACAGAAAGGGAAAAGAUAAUAGAAAAAUGAUAAAAUGCAAAAAUUAAAGAUAGAAAAUGGCCUGUGCUGGAAAGCUGGAAUGGCAAAAAUGAUGUGAAGGACUACCAUGUAUAUUAUGAGCAGCGUUCUCAUUUUUUUUCCACACCAUUUCACUUGUAUGGCUAUAAUGAAGUUUCCCAAGUCUUCAGAAGAUACUUCUGAACUACCUUGUGAAAUCACAGACAGGGAGAUUGAGCUUGAGAACAUGACUUAACAGAUUUGGUGCUUGCCACCAGAUCCUCAGCUAGAGAGGAAACCUAGGCUGACUGAGACUUGGGCACUUGAAGAAAGAUUCAAGCUGCUGUGCCCUGCCUGGCUGAAGAAGUCAUGCAGGAAGAGAAGGCCAGGAGCCAUACACCCAGAAGGCAGGUGGGAAGCCUGUGGAGUAAAGGAUAACGGGGAGGUGGAGUGAACAGAACGGUUAUUGGAAUAUGGUGAGAGGGGCUUUCAUUUGCUCUGUAAUUGGUAUUAAAGAGGCCUUACAAAGCCCAAUGGCAAAUCUGCCAUCAGAAGGGUGAAAAAAAUAUAUUUCUCUCUUUCCAACACAAACUUGAUUUUGAUGUAUUUAAACCUGAUAUGUGCAGCAGGCCUGGACUGUCUCCACUGCUGUUUCAACUGAGGCUUUGGGAUGUGGGCAUCACAUAGCAUCCAGGAACUGCAAAGCUCAUGUUCACAAACCUGUCCAGAGGAGAAGGAAGGGAUAUAUUCGGCAAGCCCCUACUGCAGAGGUAACUUCACGGGAGAAUGGAUUCAAGUCUGUUUUGCCGUAACAUCUGUAUCUGCUCCUUUUCUGUAUAGAAGGCUGUGAGCAUAAGUGGUACGGAGACCUCCCCUACACACCCUGCUGCUGUUUGAUAAUUAUACAGCCUUCAAGCUGUUGCUGAUGGUGUGUCCUGUGUCUUUAACAGGUCUGCUGGUGAUGUUAGUAGUAGCCACUAGGCAUCCAGAGUGGACAUAACUUAAAGUAAAGUGACAAUUUUAAGCACUACAUUUAAACCUAAAAAUACUAAAUUGGUGAUGGUUGCAAGUAAUGCCUAAGAUUGUAAUGAAUUAAAGGUUUUCAGCGUUUGGUUGCAUUGUAUCCUUGAUAAGACUUAGCGUGUAAUCAAUUUCCCUAAAAUAUAAUUUUCCCUGAGGUUCAUGUGCGUCUUUCAUGCUUCAGUGGCAGAAGGAAUUAAAUGGUAGAAAAUAUUAUAAAGCAAUGAAUUUGUUUGGACAGACACUUGUAGAAUACCUAGCAGUAUUAAAAAUAAGUAAAAAUGUUUUGCAGUUAACUAGGUUUCAGCUUGACAAUGUCUCUUAAAUCAGUUGGCUUUAGUGUUUUCAUGGACUGUUGUAUGAAAUGUAUCCUGCUAACCUUUCCCACAUGCAUUCAUUCUUACUCCUUGCACUCCACAACAUCUUUUUUUCUGUAUAUAAUUCAUUCUGUGUAUAACUGGGGAAAACUG
ensembl:lncRNA